UUGCUACCUCAUUUUCCUUAAAGUGUCCAUAUUAUGCUCAUCUUCAGGUUUGUAAUUGUAUUUAGAGGUUGUACCAGAAUAGGUUUACAUGGUUUCAUAAAAA